rnacentral:rRNA from 1 species
CGUGUAGGCGGCCGAUCAAGUCCGGUGUGAAAGCCCGAGGCUCAGCUUCGGAAGUGCAUCGGAAACUAGCCGGCUCGAGCGCGGUAGAGGAGGGUGGAAUUCCUGGUGUAGCGGUGAAAUGCGUAGAUAUCAGGAGGAACACCGGCGGCGAAGGCGGCCCUCUGGAUCGUUGCUGACGCUGAGACGCGAAAGCGUGGGGAGCAAACAGGAUUAGAUACCCUGGUAGUCCACGCUGUAAACGAUGGGUACUAGGUGUUCGGGGUGUUGACCCCCUGAGUGCCGACGCUAACGCAUUAAGUACCCCGCCUGGGGACUACGGCCGCAAGGUUAGA